rnacentral:rRNA from 1 species
GACGAACGCUGGCGGCGUGCUUAACACAUGCAAGUCGAACGGAAAGGCCCUGCUUUUGUGGGGUGCUCGAGUGGCGAACGGGUGAGUAACACGUGAGUAACCUGCCCUUGACUUUGGGAUAACUUCAGGAAACUGGGGCUAAUACCGGAUAGGAGCUCCUGCUGCAUGGUGGGGGUUGGAAAGUUUCGGCGGUUGGGGAUGGACUCGCGGCUUAUCAGCUUGUUGGUGGGGUAGUGGCUUACCAAGGCUUUGACGGGUAGCCGGCCUGAGAGGGUGACCGGCCACAUUGGGAUUGAGAUACGGCCCAGACUCCUACGGGAGGCAGCAGUGGGGAAUAUUGCACAAUGGGCGGAAGCCUGACGCAGCAACGCCGCGUGCGGGAUGACGGCCUUCGGGUUGUAAACCGCUUUCGCCUGUGACGAAGCGUGAGUGACGGUAAUGGGUAAAGAAGCACCGGCUAACUACGUG